UACGUAGGGAGCGAGCGUUGUCCGGAUUCAUUGGGCGUAAAGAGCUCGUAGGCGGUUUGUCGCGUCUGCCGUGAAAGUCCGGGGCUCAACUCCGGAUCUGCGGUGGGUACGGGCAGACUAGAGUGCAGUAGGGGAGACUGGAAUUCCUGGUGUAGCGGUGGAAUGCGCAGAUAUCAGGAGGAACACCGGUGGCGAAGGCGGGUCUCUGGGCAGUAACUGACGCUGAGGAGCGAAAGCGUGGGGAGCGAACAGG
rnacentral:rRNA from 1 species